rnacentral:tRNA from 1 species
GGAGUUAGCUCAGUGGUAGAGCACUUGCCUAGGAAGCGCAAGGCCCUGGGUUCAGUCCCCAGCUCCG